GGCAUUUUAUAUCAACCUGAGAGAAGUGUAUGGACACUAGCUAGGUGACAGCGCACCAAUGAGGAGCAUGGAUGUUUUAUAACUGACAAGAUUACCAAAUAUAAAUGAAAAUGGACAGCCAUAACAGAAAGGAUUUCGACAUCAACUUCCAAGAAUUACGAUUUCCAUCUCAAGCAUCAAGAUUUGACUAAAACCACAACCAAUAACAAACAUAAUCCUAUACACCAGCAUCUUCAGACAAAAUACUUCCAGUCUAUUUCCAUCUUAA